rnacentral:rRNA from 1 species
AUGAACGCUGGCGGCGUGCCUAAUACAUGCAAGUCGAGCGAACGGACGAGAAGCUUGCUUCUCUGAUGUUAGCGGCGGACGGGUGAGUAACACGCGGAUAACCUACCUAUAAGACUGGGAUAACUUCGGGAAACCGGAGCUAAUACCGGAUGAUAUUUUGAACCGCAUGGUUCAAAAGUGAAAGACGGUCUUGCUGUCACUUAUAGAUGGAUCCGCGCUGCAUUAGCUAGUUGGUAAGGUAACGGCUUACCAAGGCAACGAUGCAUAGCCGACCUGAGAGGGUGAUCGGCCACACUGGAACUGAGACACGGUCCAGACUCCUACGGGAGGCAGCAGUAGGGAAUCUUCCGCAAUGGGCGAAAGCCUGACGGAGCAACGCCGCGUGAGUGAUGAAGGUCUUCGGAUCGUAAAACUCUGUUAUUAGGGAAGAACAUAUGUGUAAGUAACUGUGCACAUCUUGACGGUACCUAAUCAGAAAGCCACGGCUAACUACGUG